AUGGAGAAGAUUGAAUGUUCUACCAGUCUGCCAUCACGUCUCGGUUGCAAAAAAAACACACAUCACGUCUCCAACUUCAACCAUAGCGCCCCCUCCCCCAGCCGCCACAGAACUCCUCCCUAUUCCCAUCGCCGCCACCGCCGCCUGUCGUUCCUCCUCUGCUAUCGAGGGCGCGAGCGAACGGAACCAACCACCGAAGUAACCGGAGCGGAAAACAGCGGUGGAAUGGGGAGAUGGCGUUUGCGGCGGCGGGGGAGGAGACGGGGCGGGCGUCCUACAUCCGGGAAGGAUCCCAAGGGCCGGGUCAUCUCCGCCACAACGCGCACCGAUGUCGCGGCGCGCCUCGGCGAGCUUCGCGACCAGAUCCUCGCCCGCCGCGCCUCCUUCACCAACCUCGCCGCCCAACACUCCGGCUGCUCCUCCGUGCACGCGGCAGCGACCUAG
rnacentral:rRNA from 1 species